AUGUUGAAAUUGUUCCUUCAACACUUGUGUUAUACACAUUGUAGCAGCAAAGUGGAGUUGCUCCUCCACAACCUUUGUGCUGCUUCAAAGCGUGUUGAUAAUGACAAGAGAGGUCGGGGUAGAUCGAACGAGGAGUCCGUAAAGAAAGAUCUGAAGGAUUGGAGUAUCACCAAAGAACUAGCCAUGGACAGGGGUGCGUGGAAGCUUGCUAUCCAGGAAAUUUAUUUGGGCAUGAAGUCUAUCUUGAUGGUAUCCUUAUUGCACUUCCUUAAGGGUGUGAUUAUUGCUAACGAGUUGAGGCCAUGUCAAGCAGAAUGCUAA
rnacentral:rRNA from 1 species